rnacentral:rRNA from 1 species
UAGGGAAUCUUCGGCAAUGGGGGCAACCCUGACCGAGCAACGCCGCGUGAGUGAAGAAGGUUUUCGGAUCGUAAAGCUCUGUUGUAAGUCAAGAACGAGUGUGAGAGUGGAAAGUUCACACUGUGACGGUAACUUACCAGAAAGGGACGGCUAACUACGUGCCAGCAGCCGCGGUAAUACGUAGGUCCCGAGCGUUAUCCGGAUUUAUUGGGCGUAAAGCGAGCGCAGGCGGUUAGAUAAGUCUGAAGUUAAAGGCUGUGGCUUAACCAUAGUACGCUUUGGAAACUGUUUAACUUGAGUGCAGAAGGGGAGAGUGGAAUUCCAUGUGUAGCGGUGAAAUGCGUAGAUAUAUGGAGGAACACCGGUGGCGAAAGCGGCUCUCUGGUCUGUAACUGACGCUGAGGCUCGAAAGCGUGGGGAGCAAACAGGAUUAGAUACCCUGGUAGUCCACGCCGUAACGAUGAGUGCUAGGUGUUGGGUCCUUUCCGGGACUCAGUGCCGCAGCUAACGCAUUAAGCACUCCGCCUGGGGAGUACGACCGCAAGGUU